rnacentral:rRNA from 1 species
AUGCCUAACACAUGCAAGUCGAACGCUCUUGGGGAUCUUGGUCCUCAAGGGAGUGGCGCACGGGUGAGUAGCGCGUGGGAACCUGCCCUCUUGUGGGGGAUAACCGAGGGAAACUUCGGCUAAUACCGCAUGCGCCCCUGGGGAGACCUGGGGGGAAAGAUUUAUCGCAGGAGGAGGGGCCCGCGUCGGAUUAGGUAGUUGGUAGGGUAACGGCCUACCAAGCCGAUGAUCCGUAGCUGGUCUGAGAGGAUGAUCAGCCACACUGGGACUGAGACACGGCCCAG